rnacentral:rRNA from 1 species
CCCUUAGAUGUUCUGGGCUGCACGCGCGCUACACUGAUGCGUUCAACAAGUGUUAACCUUGCCCGAUAGGGUUGGGUAAUCUUUUGAAAGCGCAUCGUGAUGGGGAUCGAUGACUGCAAUUGUUCAUCUUCAACGAGGAAUUCCUAGUAAGCGCAAGUCAUCAACUUGCGUUGAUUACGUCCCUGCCCUUUGUACACACCGCCCGUCGCUACUACCGAUUGAAUGGUUUAGUGAGGCCUUCGGAUCCGCGACUCGUUUGUGGAGAAGUUGGACAAACUCAGUCAUUUAGAGGAGGUAAAAGUCGUAACA